AUUGAACGCUGGCGGCAUGCCUUACACAUGCAAGUCGAACGGUAACAGGUUAAGCUGACGAGUGGCGAACGGGUGAGUAAUAUAUCGGAACGUGCCCAGUCGUGGGGGAUAACUGCUCGAAAGAGCAGCUAAUACCGCAUACGACCUGAGGGUGAAAGCGGGGAUCGCAAGACCUCGCGCGAUUGGAGCGGCCGAUAUCAGAUUAGGUAGUUGGUGGGGUAAAAGCCACCAAGCCAACGAUCUGUAGCUGGUCUGAGAGGACGACCAGCCACACUGGGACUGAGACACGGCCCAGACUCCUACGGGAGGCAGCAGUGGGGAAUUUUGGACAAUGGGCGCAAGCCUGAUCCAGCCAUGCCGCGUGCGGGAAGAAGGCC
rnacentral:rRNA from 1 species